UUCCCCUAAAUGCCCGAGGACAAGUAUAGACAGAUGAAUACUUGCGUUAAGGGUCAUCCACGAAUUGUUGCACUUGGUGACUACAACAAUGAAUUUGGAAAUUACAUAUAAGAGGCUUACAUACCCAUUCCAUAACAGAACCAUCCCUAUCAGUAAAUGAAUGUUCUGUGGAAGUUGAUGGAUUGGUUUCCAGAUACCCUUCGGGCUCUUUAAUCAACCAGUCUAACAAAAAUGAUGUACAUCUUUCCAACAGAGGGUAUGCCUCAUUUUCUAGAAAAUCCUAAUAAUUAUGUUGCUUCAAUCAUCCUUCAAUUUUGUAAGAGGGAUUUACUCUUAGGGACUCAGCUGGAAGGGGAGUGGGGAGUGAUCUAAACCUUUAGAGGUGAGUGAUAUAUUUUUAACCAUUAGACCGACUAAUCCAGGCUAGGCAUUUUUAUUAGUAUUAGGGAAAACGAUUUUAAAAGAGGAAAGAUUGAUACUAUAUUAUUUAUCAAAAUACAUGUGUAUGACAAGCAUAUGGUUCAAGUAUAUAUAGGUGAUAUUAUUUUUUAUCAUACUAAUGACUUCUUGUACAAUAACUUUUCAAAGAUCAUAAAAAGUGAAUCUGAAAUGAAUAUGAGUGAACUUACCUUUUUUUUUUCCUUGGAC
rnacentral:misc_RNA from 1 species